CCGCGUAAACUUUACAAUGCUGGCAACAGCGAUAAGGGAAGCUCGAGUGCCAGGUUACAAAUCUGGCUGUCGAGAUGCCUAAAAAGCAUUUCAUAGCAAGGGCCGGGCAAGACCGGUGCCAGCCGCCGCGGUAACACCGGCGGCUCGAGUGGUAACCGUUAUUAUUGGGUCUAAAGGAUCUGUAGCCGGCCGGAUAAGUCUCUUGAGAAAUCUGGCAGCUUAACUGUCAGGCUUUCAGGAGAUACUGUCUGGCUCGAGGCCGGGAGAGGUGAGAGGUACUUCAGGGGUAGGGGUGAAAUCUUGUAAUCCUUGAAGGACCACCAGUGGCGAAGGCGUCUCACCAGAACGGACCUGACGGCAAGGGACGAAAGCUAGGGGCACGAACCG
rnacentral:rRNA from 1 species